rnacentral:rRNA from 1 species
GACGAACGCUGGCGGCGUGCUUAACACAUGCAAGUCGAACGAUGAAGCCCAGCUUGCUGGGUGGAAGAGUGGCGAACGGGUGAGUAACACGUGAGUAACCUGCCCUUGACUCUGGGAUAAGCGCUGGAAACGGCGUCUAAUACUGGAUACGACCUAUCACCGCAUGGUGUGUGGGUGGAAAGAUUUAUCGGUUUUGGAUGGACUCGCGGCCUAUCAGCUUGUUGGUGAGGUAAUGGCUCACCAAGGCGACGACGGGUAGCCGGCCUGGGAGGGUGACCGGCCACACUGGGACAGAGACACGGCCCAGACUCCUACGGGAGGCAGCAGUGGGGAAUAUUGCACAAUGGGCGCAAGCCUGAUGCAGCAACGCCGCGUGAGGGAUGACUGCCUUCGGUUGUAAACCUCUUUAGUAGGAAGAGCGAAGUGACGGUACCUGCAGAAAAGCACCGGCUAACUACGUGCCAGCAGCCGCCGUAA